UUAGCAUAUUUGAUUGUGUAUAUAUAUGACAUGAAUCUGUGUGGCUACUGUCUUUUUUUUCCUGUUCUUGUUCACUUUUUCAGUGGACUCGGAUCAUGGACAGCAGGUGUCAUCACUAAAGAUCAAUCAUCACUUAUAAAGUACGGACUCAUACACCAGCAGGGGUACAUUUGACACCAGGGACAUUGCUGUGCACGGACACUGUCAAUUACAGUCUGAAGUCUGGAACGCAUUUUCCCUUCAGUUUUGUCUUCAGCAAUUCAGCGGAUUCAGUUCAGGUGAUUGAUUUGGCCAUUGCAUAACAGUUCACUUC